UUGGUACGUGUCUACGUGGCA
rnacentral:misc_RNA from 1 species